UGCUUCUGUUUGGCCUGACCUCUUUAGCCAGUCUAGGAUCUACUGGCUGCCCAUACAUGCUCAAGACUCCAUUUGAAGCAGAAGAAAACGUAUGUGCUCAACUAAAGAUGAUAUCCUCUUCACAUGGGCUCUUUCCUAAGUAGAUGAUUUCGGGCUAAAUUUAGCAUGCGCAGGAUGAACAGAGGCAGUGGUAUUCGGAUGAAUAUGGAAAUACAGACACUUAGUGUGACAGCCCCCGAUGGUUGCAGUAGGACCCUCAUAUCUGUGGGGGAUUGGU